rnacentral:rRNA from 1 species
UACGAAGGGGGCUAGCGUUGCUCGGAAUCACUGGGCGUAAAGGGUGCGUAGGCGGGUCUUUAAGUCAGGGGUGAAAUCCUGGAGCUCAACUCCAGAACUGCCUUUGAUACUGAAGAUCUUGAGUCCGGGAAGAGGCGAGUGGAAUUCCCAGUGUAGCGGUGAAAUGCGUAGAUAUCGGGAGGAACACCUGUGGCGAAGGCGGCCCCUGGUUGGAUACUGACGCUGAUACGCGAAAGCGUGGGGAGCAACGAGG